rnacentral:rRNA from 1 species
CCUACGGGAGGCAGCAGUGAGGAAUAUUGGUCAAUGGGCGCGAGCCUUAACCAUCCAAUUAUCUUUAAUUAUUACUUCCCUACUUUUUUUAAACUUCUUUUCUCCAUUAAUAAAGUGCGGCCCGUGUGCCUUUUUGUAUGUACUUUAUGAAUAAGGAUCGGCUAACUCCGUGCCAGCCGCCGCGGUCCUACGGAGGAUCCGCGCGUUAUCCGGCUUUAUUGGGUUUAAAGGGAGCGUAGAUGGGUGGUUAAGUCAGUUGUGAAAGUUUGCGGCUCAACCGUAAAAUUGCAAUUGAUACUGGCAGUCUUGAGUACAGUUGAGGUAGGCGGAAUUCGUGGUGUAGCGGUGAAAUGCUUAGAUAUCACGAAGAACUCCGAUUGCGAAGGCAGCUUACUAAACUGCCACUGACAUUGAUGCUCGAAAGUGUGGGUAUCAAACAGGAUUAGAGACCCCAGUAGUC